rnacentral:antisense_RNA from 1 species
CUUUUUUAAAUUAGUAAAUUUAGAUAAUAAAAAAAACAAAGCAGUACCUGUUACCCCUCCUCCUAUGACAA